UACGUAGGGGGCAAGCGUUAUCCGGAUUUAUUGGGUUUAAAGGGUGCGUAGGCGGACGCUUAAGUCAGCGGUAAAAUUGCGGGGCUCAACCUCGUCGAGCCGUUGAAACUGGGUGCCUUGAGUGGGCGAGAAGUACGCGGAAUGCGUGGUGUAGCGGUGAAAUGCAUAGAUAUCACGCAGAACUCCGAUUGCGAAGGCAGCAUACCGGCGCCCUACUGACGCUGAGGCACGAAAGCGUGGGUAUCGAACAGG
rnacentral:rRNA from 1 species